GAUGAACGCUGGCGGCGUGCUUAACACAUGCAAGUCGAACGAUGAAGCCCAGCUUGCUGGGUGGAUUAGUGGCGAACGGGUGAGUAACACGUGAGUAACCUGCCCUUAACUCUGGGAUAAGCCUGUGAAACUGGGUCUAAUACCGGAUAGGAGCGUCCACCGCAUGGUGGGUGUUGGAAAGAUUUAUCGGUUUUGGAUGGACUCGCGGCCUAUCAGCUUGUUGGUGAGGUAAUGGCUCACCAAGGCGACGACGGGUAGCCGGCCUGAGAGGGUGACCGGCCACACUGGGACUGAGACACGGCCCAGACUCCUACGGGAGGCAGCAGUGGGGAAUAUUGCACAAUGGGCGCAAGCCUGAUGCAGCGACGCCGCGUGAGGGAUGACGGCCUUCGGGUUGUAAACCUCUUUCAGUAGGGAAGAAGCGAAAGUGACGGUACCUGCAGAAGAAGCACCGGCUAACUACGUG
rnacentral:rRNA from 1 species